AAUAAUUUAUAAGUUAAAAUUCAUGGCAUAGUUUUGCUAAUUAAACAUUUUAAAAAUAAAUUUACGUUGUUUAUUACAAACCGCCCAUAGGCCGGGACAAGUGCAAUGUUUAUUCAAAAUGCAAAACGUUGACACCUUCCCGUCCUACGGGAAAUUCAUAUUCGUAUUUGGCAGAAAACUCCUCCGCCAUUACAGAUCGAGAAUAUAAAGUUUCAGCAAGUACAGUGAACAUCUUGAUAAAAAUGUAAAAUAUAAUACCAACAACAGAGAACAAAAAAUAAGGAGCGCUUCAUAUUAAAUUUCCGCCCCUACUUGAGUGUCCUUUGUGCGGGCUUAAGAUGCCCAACAAUAGUCCUGACUGAAGGAGUGGGAGUUUCGGAUCGGAUCGGAUCGAGAGCAGGUAAAAUUAAACCCUGGGCAAAAUCAAGCGUUAAAUACCUUUUACUUACGCCUCACAUCAUUUGGCAAGAGGAAGCUUGUAUGUAUAUGAAAGUAUGCUGCGGGGUCCAUUAACAGUUGGCUAACAUCAACAAAAUUUGAAAUCCAAAGCGUGACAAAUUCGUAGAAACCAGAACCACUCGGUGGCGGAGGAACAUAAAAAAAGACCAAAACUGGUUUGGUUCUACCUAUCAACUGAGAACCGAAAAACACACAAAAAGAAAGCUGCCCGAAGGCUUGGAGCAUAAUUCUACAGAAAAGCAAAGAACAAGGAGGUUUCGAAGAGCGAGGGUCUGAGAAGAGAGGGCACCGUGUGAGUUCCUGCAGAAUCCGCUGCAAGAAAGGUGCUCCAGCGACAACAACAUGAAGAACGGCGAUUCCCAGAAACGAGAGUGUGUGUGGGAGGAGAAGGUGGAGUAGGAGAAUUCUUCCAAAGGAGCAAAAUGAGCGGAGAGUGGGGGCCGUCACUAAUGAAUUUGUAUGCAGGGACCGCAAUGAUUUGGCACAAAAACAAAAGCAACAGUAACGGAAAUGCAGAGCGAGGAUAUAUAAAAAAAAAUUUUAAAAAUACGCGGGUCCAACAAACAACAACAUUAUGCGAAAUUAGUGCAGACAGCCGAAAAACGCACCUUUUAUGUUUUGUAGCCUCUCCACAUUUUACGAUUGCCAGUUCUUGGUUCGUUUUGUGUGAUUUUUGAUUUAUGCAAAAGCAAUAAAAAUUAUUAUAAUGAAGGCGCUGACAUGGCUGAUGGCCAGGGCAAAAAGUAUACACUGAGAGAAAAGGGUACACAUAUGAUAUAAAUGGAUUUACAUAGUUAUAAAGUUGAAGGAAAUAUAGAAGCCUCUAAUCUCUAAAAUAUUAUUAAACAAAAUUUUGAAAUAUUUUUGGAUCAAAAUGAUCUAAAAACUGUCAUGAACUUUCUGAAGAUUCUGAUUCUAAAUAUUCUGAUUCUAAAGAUCAUAUUAGACCCUAUAUUGUUUUCGGUGUAAGCGAAGAACAGAGCUGGCGACACGUGAUGAUGUUGGGGACAGCAGGAGAAAAGGGUGGAGAACUGGGGGCGAUGACGAUGCUGAUGUUCCUUGUCCGUUACUUUAGCUUCACUCGCUCUUUCUCCCGCAAUGGGUCUUUAAAAAACAAAAAAAAUUAAGCGCUACGAAGAGAAUGAGUCAGAAUGUUUGUUUGACUUCUGCACAAAGAAUGGCUUCUUAUUUCUUUGUGCUCUCGCCUCGACCCGCCAAAAGACGAAAAGCACAUGUAAAUAAAUCAAAAGGCGACAGGAAAAUCGCCAUUUUCCCCGCCUAUAAAGACAAUAAUUUGGCGCAAAAAGCCUUUUUAACCGAACGUUUUAUUCCCAACUAUUUUGAUGGUCAACAUAAAU